UGCCAUUGAGGUGAUGAAGGCAAAGCCUUA
rnacentral:piRNA from 1 species